UGUCCAGUGAGCUUAGUGGACAUGGCAUCUGCCCGGUAAGCGGAACACUGUGGGUUCGAUUCCCAUCCCUGGACAC